rnacentral:lncRNA from 1 species
UGUGUGAUAGCUUGAUUGGUACACUACUCAACAUUCAGGGAAAGACAAAAGAUGGAGUGAAUGCUCGUUUGGAUUUGGUUGACAUGAAUAUCCGAGAAGAGUUGGCACCCAAGGAGAUUGGUAAACGUACUUAUUUGCCCCCUGCAUGUUACACAAUGUCUAGACAAGAGAAGAUAAGUUUUUUUCUUUGUUUAAAGAGUAUCAAAGUAUC